ACGGCUCAGUAACACGUAGUCAACAUGCCCAGGGGACGUGGAUAACCUCGGGAAACUGAGGAUAAACCGCGAUAGGUCAUAGUAUCUGGAAUGAUUUAUGGCUCAAAUCUAUAUGGCCUCUGGAUUGGACUGCGGCCGAUCAGGCUGUUGGUGAGGUAAUGGCCCACCAAACCUAAAACCGGUACGGGCUCUGAGAGGAGAAGCCCGGAGAUGGGCACUGAGACAAGGGCCCAGGCCCUAUGGGGCGCAGCAGGCGCGAAAACUCUGCAAUAAGCGAAAGCUUGACAGGGUUAUUCUGAGUGAUUUCCGCUAAGGAAAUCUUUUGGCACCUCUAAAAUGGUGCAGAAUAAGGGGUGGGCAAGCCUGGUGUCAGCCGCCGCGGUAAUACCAGCACCCCGAGUGGUCGGGACGAUUAUUGGGCCUAAAGCAUCCGUAGCCGGUUCUACAAGUCUUCCGUUAAAUCCACCUGCUCAACAGAUGGGCUGCGGAGGAUACUAUAGAGCUAGGAGACGGGAGAGGCAAGCGGUACUUAGUGGGUAGGGGUAAAAUCCGUUGAUCCAUUGAAGACCACCAGUGGCGAAGGCGGCUUGCCAGAACGCACUCGACGGUGAGGGAUGAAAGCUGGGGGAGCAAACCGGAUUAGAUACCCGGGUAGUCCCAGCUGUAAACGAUGCAGACUCGGUGAUGAAUAGGCUUCGUGCCUAUUCAGUGCCGCAGGGAAGCCGUUAAGUCUGCCGCCUGGGGAGUACGGUCGCAAGACUGAAACUUAAAGGAAUUGGCGGGGGAGCA
rnacentral:rRNA from 1 species